GACGAACGCUGGCGGCGUGCUUAACACAUGCAAGUCGAACGGAAAGGCCCUGCUUUUGUGGGGUGCUCGAGUGGCGAACGGGUGAGUAACAAGUGAGUAACCUGCCCUUGACUUUGGGAUAACUUCAGGAAACUGGGGCUAAUACCGGAUAGGAGCUCCUGCUGCAUGGUGGGGGUUGGAAAGUUUCGGCGGUUGGGGAUGGACUCGCGGCUUAUCAGCUGGUUGGUGGGGUAGUGGCUUACCAAGGCUUUGACGGGUAGCCGGCCUGAGAGGGUGACCGGCCACAUUGGGACUGAGAUACGGCCCAGACUCCUACGGGAGGCAGCAGUGGGGAAUAUUGCACAAUGGGCGGAAGCCUGAUGCAGCAACGCCGCGUGCGGGAUGACGGCCUUCGGGUUGUAAACCGCUUUCGCCUGUGACGAAGCGUGAGUGACGGUAAUGGGUAAAGAAGCACCGGCUAACUACGUG
rnacentral:rRNA from 1 species